rnacentral:rRNA from 1 species
GUUAGGAAUAUUGGACAAUGGGCGAAAGCCUGAUCCAGCCAUGCCGCGUGAACGAUGAAGGCCUUCGGGUUGUAAAGCUCUUUAGUCCACGAAUAUAAUGACUGUAGUGGAAGAAUAAGCCCCGGCUAACUUCGUGCCAGCAGCCGCGGUAAUACGAAGGGGGCGAGCGUUAUUCGGAAUCACUGGGCGUAAAGCGUGCGUAGGCUGUUUUGUAAGUCAGAAGUGAAAGCCCAGGGCUUAACCCUGGAAUUGCUUUUGAAACUACAAGACUCGAAUUCGGGAGAGGAUAGCGGAAUUGUCAGUGUAGCAGUGAAAUGCGUAGAUAUUGACAGGAACACCAGUGGCGCAAGCGGCUAUCUGGACCGAUAUUGACGCUGAGGCACGAAAGCGUGGGGAGCAAACAGGAUUAGAUACCCUUGUAGUCC